rnacentral:rRNA from 1 species
GACGAGGGAUCCUAGCGUUGUUCGGAAUCAUUGGGCGUAAAGCGGAUGUAGGUGGCUUUGUAAGUCAGGUGUGAAAGCCCAGAGCUCAACUCUGGAAGUGCAUUUGAUACUGCGAAGCUUGAGUGUGGAAGAGGUAAGUAGAAUACCUGGUGUAGUGGUGAAAUACGUAGAUAUCAGGUGGAAUACCGGAGGCGAAGGCGGCUUACUGGUCCAACACUGACACUGAGAUCCGAAAGCGUGGGGGAUCAAACAGG